rnacentral:rRNA from 1 species
UAGCAUAAUCAUUUGUUUUUUAAUUAAAAACUAGAAUGAAAGAUUUAACAUUUUAAUUUCUUUAUUAAAUUUUUAUUAUAAAUUUAUAUUAAAUAUAAAAAUAUAUUUAUAAAUAAAAAAGACGACAAGACCCUAUUAAAUUUUACUUAAUGUUUAGCUGGGGCAGCUUUUUAAAUAAAACUUUAAAUAAUAAUAAUAAUAAUAUAUAUAAUUUUAAAAUCUAAUAUAAUUAAAUUAUUAACUAAUUACUAUAGGGAUAACAGCGUUAUAUUUUUUUCAAGUUCAUAUUUAAAAAAUUUAUUGCGACCU